UGGAGACGACGGCGCCAGGACUAUUGCAGUUUGUGAAAAAGAAAGAGAGAGAGAGAGAGAGAAAGAGAGAAGAGGGAAGAGGAAAACGUUCGAGUUUAUUUCCACGCGACUGUGACAUAAUUUUCAAGCGACGCUGUAUCUCUCUCUCUCUCUCUCUCUCUCUCUCUCUCUCUCUCUGCAUUAAGGAGGCAUUUCAUGGAACUUUAUCGGCUCCACUGAUUCUACUACGUUCGAUUUUCUUUCGACCUUUCUAGUUGACGCAACCUCCGAUAAAAGAGAAACGUGAAAAUUGUUUUCUCUUUAAUUAAGCUUUUCUAUCUUUAUUUCUCCCUCCCUCUCUCUUUCUCUUUCUCUCUCUCUCUCUUUUACUCUCUUUCUCUCUUUCUCUUCGCUACAAAUCAGUCUCCUUUCAUUUCAUCCUUAUUCGUAAUUUUAUCUUUCUAUCGAAACGUUCGAUAUCGAAACGAUAGAAAAUCAGUUGCCUUCAUAGAUUUUUCGAAUUUCCUUGGAAUUAUUUUCGAAUUCCCAUAGGGUGAACUGGAAUAAAUAAGAUAAAAUGUGAAAGGAUAUUGAAUUCGAUAUGUCGAAUGAGAAGAUUAAAAUUCGGAAUUUUGGAUAUGAAACGUGAUCGAAAUGAGUCAACCUGCCGAUGACAUACGAAAACCACAUCUCUCUUAUAUCUAUCAAUUACAUCAAAUCCAAUCAUUCAUCUAGCUAGCUUUCUCUCGCUCUCUCUCUCUCUCUUUCAAUGACCAGAGUAACGUUGUUGGCGUAUGUAUUGUACCAUAGUGGUAGCCCGUUAAAAGCAUGACUCUCUCUUUCUCUCUCUUGCUCUUUGUUUCCCUGCUUGAACGAUUAAAAAAUUUUUUAUCGUUCGUGUCGCUCGUAGAACGCACCUGACGGGAAGUGCAUUACGGGCUCGAACAGAAUGUCGGAAUUCGAAAUAAUUUCACGUUUUCGACGACGUCGGAGAGAAGUGUAGAGAGUUCGGUGGGGAUAAAAAGAGGGGUGGGGAGAGAGAGAGAGAGAGAGGAAGGAGAGGAUGAGGGUGAAGGUGAGGGUGAGGGUGAGGGAAAGGAAAAGGGGGUGAUGGACAAUAAAAAUUUAUUCGGUCAGUCGAGCGGCUGUUCGUGGCUCUCGGUCGUUGCAAAUCCCCAUCCUUCUCUCUUUUUCCUUCUCCCACCCCCUUCUAGUCCUACUACCACCUGCUACCGACUACCAUUCGAAAAUUCAUUCAAAUUUUAUCCAUCUCUCUUUUUCCUUUCUCCUUUUUUUUUUCUUUUUUCUCUCCACCUACCCCCUCCUCUCUCUCUCUCUCUCUCUCUCUCUCUCUUUUGCUCAUUAACCUUUUCUCUACGAAUUUAGAAUUUUUUUUUUGCUGCGAUAUGUCGAUCUGAUUCAACCACCGAUGAAAGAAAUAAUAGCGAUUGUAUUCUUCGGACGAAAAAGGAAAUGGAAAAGAAAAGAAAAGAAAAGAAAAGAAAAGGAAAGAAAAGAAAAAUUAAUUGUAAAGGAAAAGAGAAAAUAAAAAAAAAAUAAUAAUAAUAAUAAAAUAAAAAAAGUAUAUCGUUGAGAGGAUUUUCAUGUCGACGAAUACGAUGGGAUUCUAUAGAGAAUAGAGAUGUCAUUAAUUAAAGUUGAAAAUGAGAGAUGCCUAGUGGUGGUUAGUUUUUGUACGCAACAUAUUCUUGAUUAUACUUAUAGAUAAUAAUAAAUAUUUCUUACUAUAGGGGCUAGCAAGAGAAAGCGAAAGAUAAGAAAGAAAAAUAAAAGAAAAGAAAAGAAAAGAAAUGCUUUUUUACAUUUUACGCAGACAAUAGGAUGUAGGAAACGACGUAUAGUAAAGAAAGAAAUAGUUUCAACUUCGAAAAAACAUGGAAAGUGUAUAUAUAUAUAUAUAUAUAUAUAUAUUGUAGUAUAGUAGCAUAAUACUGUAGAGUAUAGUUUGUAUGAAAAAAGAAUGGCGAUCUUCGAAGUUUCUUUCGACUUUUGUAAACUAGGAAAAUUUACGAUAGAAUCCAAUUGUCGAAGACUUUAAAAAGAUGGUCCUUCAAAGAUUCUUCGGACUUGUCGAAGGGAGAAGAAUGUUUACUUCGAAACGAAGAAUAGAUAGAAAGCGAGAGAAAGAGAGAGAGAGACAGAGAGAGAGAGAGAGAGAGAGAGAGAAGAUACGAGUAAGAAAAAAAGAUGCUUGAAUCGAAAUUUCUUUCUCUCUUUCUACUUUUCCUUUCAGACACGUCUCGUGCAUAUUCAAAAGUUUUGCACCAAAUUUCAGGUGUUUUGUUAUGCUAAAAUUGGCCGGAAAGGAGAACCAGGCUUGUUCUCAUUGCUUUUAGCAUAUUUCAACGAUAUUUCUGAUAUUAGUAUAUCUAUAUUUUCUAUUCUAUAUCUUCUUCUCUUUCUGCUUUAUUCCAUUCAUUUAUAGUGUUUAUUUCAUUUCUCGACACUACUCUUCAUCAUCAUCAUCAUCAUCAUCAUCAUCAUCCUUCUCCUUCUUCUUGUUCUUCUUCUUCACUAUUUAUCUUAAUAACAUCUUAUUUCUUUUCAUCUCUCUCUCUCUUUCUCUCUCUCUCUCUCUCUCUCUCUCUCUCUCUCUCUCUCUCCUUACGUCCAUUUACAUCAGCAAAUUUAAUUAUUCUUCACGUUAUUUUAUCUUCACUCGAGGCGGAAGCACAUCCAUACACUUUUUUCAUUUUUCUAUUUAUUUAUUUUUUUCUCUUUCUUUUCUUUUUCUUUUUUCUUUUUUUUUCCCUUCUUUCAUUCUUCUCCCCCUUCUCUUUAUUCGAGAACCAAGCGCAUUUAAGAAGGGUAGUUCAGGGGAAACCGAACACAACCGACGAAAUCUCUCCUAUAAACCUUCCUCGUAAUUUUCUACGUUAUUGUAUGCGAAUGCUUAUUUAUAUGCAUGCAUAUAAAUAUGCUCGUAAUCUUUUGAACCUACUUUUAUAUUGUACGAUUCUGCUUUUCUAUGAGUUUAAACUAUUACGGAGAGAACGAAUAUAAAUCGUGUAUUGAAUAUAUAUAUAUAUAUAUUAUAUAUUUUAUAUAUAUAUAUAUAUAAAUCGUGACGAGGCUCGAUUGUAAAUCAACGAUUUGUAUAAUCGAUUUGAAAGAUACGCAAAGUCAUGUUUGGGAUAAUAUUAAAAUCAUCAUACUCAUCUUUUAAUAUCUUCAUAUAAAUUAUAAUUUUUCUAUAGAAGAAAAAAGAGAGAGAGGGAGAGAGGGAGAGAGAGAGAGAGAGAGAGAGAAAUAGACAUUAAUGUUGAAUAAUGGAGUUCGUUUCGUUACACGGACGGAAGUUUAUAAACGUGGUUUUACGAUCUCCAUCUUUCUCAAAGUUCCUUUUUGCGAAAUUGCAAAAAUGUUUCGAACUAUUCCACGGUAUCCAAGGAGAAAGAUAUUAAUGAGAGAACUCCGAUCGAUGCUAAGCUAUACCGUAAAAGCUUGGCCAGUAAACAAGGAAUGAGUUUUUGAAAGGGUAACCAUUUCCUAUAUUCAAGAACAUACGAAAUGAUAAAACGCGUUUUACUUUUCUUUUUUUUUUCUUUUUUUUUCCUUUGUUUCUUCUUUUUUUUUCGAUUUUUUCUUUCUUUCCCUUUAUUUCUUUUUGCUAGGUGAAAUUAAAAAGGAAAAAAGAAAGAAGAAGAAGAAGGGAGGAAAAAAAAGGAAGAGGGAUAGAGAGAGAGACAGAGAGAGAGAGACAGAGGGAAAGAAGAAAAAUAAUCUUCGUACGUAAUUAGAUAUUCUUUCGCGUUGAAGUUAAGUCGAGUUCUGCAGUAUGUUACCAACAUACAUUCACACACACACACACACACAAACACAAACACACGCACAGGGAAAACAGAGGGAAAGAGAGAGAUGAAGAUACCUCUUCUACACGUAAACACUAGGUUUUCUUAGGUAAGCCAGUCUUCUUUGUUUGACGCAUUAAUCAAGAGCAAGUUUUCUCUCUUCUUUCGAACUCAUUUUGAUCCUUUUUUUACUUUUCUCAUUCGGACCUCUUCUCAUUCUCUCUCUCUCUCUCUCUCUCUCUAUUUCUCGUUCUACUAUGCUCUUGCAAGAUAUCUCUCUCUCGUUCUCUCUUCAACACUAUUUUUCUUUCCAACCAAUUCUCUUUCUUUCUUUCUUUAUUUCUACUUUCUAACGAUCUUUCUUUCGAAUAUCGCGGUUUUCCAAGCUCGUUUCACGCUAGUUUUCGUUCGGUCGAUUAAUUGUGUCGUUGGUUAUCAACGGUAGAAGAAAUUUUUCAAAAGAAACGUUAAACUUCUUAUUUUCUUCGAAUCUGUUGUAAGGAAUGGUGAAUAAAUUUAGGAUCGCACGAAGUUUAUAGAAUCUGCAAGGGAGUGGGAAAACUGAAUAAAUAAAUAUAUAAGUUAUAGAACGAAUUUCCUUUAUCCUGUAUCCCUUCCUUUUUUUUUCUUUCUUUUUUUUUUUUUUUUUUUUUUUACUUUCUCUUAUUAUAAUUUUCUCAAGCUAUAUCGAUUAAUUAUAAAUUCUAUUUAUCUUUAUCGAUAAGAGGACGAUCCUUCGAGAUUUCAAUUAACCUAUUUUAAUUAAUUAUUCGUCCUUUUUUCUAUUCUAUUCUUUUCUUUACCUCUCUUUCUUUUUCUUCUUUUUUUCCUUUUCCUUUCUUAAACUCGAUGGUAUCUCUCGUUUGCGAAAGUUCCAAGGAUAUAAUGAAGGUAAGAAGAGAAAGAAUUUAACGAGAAGAAGAAACUAAAAACUCGUAAAACGAAUGAUGUCGUUUGUUUUAGCUCGAGAAAAAAAAAAAAAAAAAAAAAAAAAAAAAAAAAAAAGAAAAAAAGAAGAAGAAUUUAUCUAUUAUGAGAACGGUGACAAAUGGAAAGGAUGGAGGAACGCCGAAAAAAAGGAAAUAAAAAUAAAAAAAAAAAAAAAAAAAAAAA